UGUGGUUGAUCCUACUAGUGUCAAAAGCUUGUCUCAAAGAUUAAGCCAUGCAUGUGUAAGUAUAACUAAUUCAAACUGUGAAACUACAAAAUUGCUCAUUAAAUCAAUUAUAGUUUGUUUGAUGGUAUCUACUACUCAAAUGACCGUAGUAAUUCUAGAGCUAAUACGUGCAACGAACCCCAACUUCUAGAAGGGAUGAAUUUAUUAAAUAAAAGGUUGAUGUGAGCUUUGACCAUUUCUCUAAUGAUUCAUAGUAACUUAACAAUUUACGCGGCCUUUAUACCGAUGAUGCAUCAUUCAAAUUUCUACCCUAUCAACUUUCGAUGGUAGGAUAGUUGCCUACCAUGGUGGUGAAGGGUAACAGAGAAUUAGGGUUCAAUUUCGAAAAGAGAGCCUAAGAAAUGACUAGCAAAUCCAAAAAAGGUAACAAGUGUGCAAAUUACCAAAAUCCUAACAUGAGGUGGUAAUCACAAUAAAUAACAAUAUUGGGCUCUAUGAGUUUGGUAAUUUAAAUGAGUACAAUCUAAAUCCCUUAAUAAGGAUCCAUUGGAGGGCAAGUCUAGUGUGAGUAGUUAUGGUAAUACCAGUUUUAAUGGGACAUAUUUAAGUUGUUGCAGUUAAAAAGCUCAUGGUUGAAAUUAGGGUUAGGUCAUCUGACCUAUCCACAGUGACCAUCUAUCUACUCAUCCUUCUGCUAAAGAUGUGCUCCUAGCCUUAACUGGUCAGGUCAUUCCUCUAAUGCUAUUGUUUUGAAAAAAAUAGAGUGCUCAAAGUAGGCCUAUGCUUGUAUACAUUAGCAUAAGAUAACAUUAUAGGAUUUCUAUCAUAUUGUGGUGGCCUUUGAGAUCAAAGUAAUGAUUAACAAGGAUAGUCGAGGGCAUUCGUAUUUCAUAGUCAGAGGUGAAAUUUUUGGAUUUAUGAAAGAUGAACAAUUGUGAAAGUAUUUACCAAAGAUGUUUUCAUUAAUCAAGAAUGAAAGUUGUGAGCUUGAAGAUGAUUAGAUACCAUCCUAGUCUCAACCAUAAAUGAUGUCGACCAAGGAUUGAUGGAUGUUACUUUCAAGACUCUAUUGACACCUUAUGAGAAAUCAAAGUCUUUAGGUUCUGGGGGGAGUAUGGUUACAAGGCUAAAAAUUAAAAGAAUUUAUGGAAGGGCACCACUUGGAGUGCAACCUAUGGCUUAAUUUGACUCAAUACAAGGAAACUUACCAGGUCUAGACAUAGUAAAGGUUGAUAGAUUGAGAGCUCUUUCUUGAUUCUAUGGAAGAUGGUGCAUGGUAGUUCUUAGUUGGUGGAUUGAUUUGUCUAGUUAAAUCCAUUAACGAACAAGACCUCAGCUUACUAACCAUCGCACACUGAGAGGGCAAGCGUGCUUUCAUGCCCUGAGCCCCUUCUAGCCCUGGGUGUGUGCGAUGGUUAAUUUGUUUUGCCUCUCGAAUCGGCAAAAUGAUUGGUAUCAUCAUCAGUGGCCAAAUAACGAGCCCUCGAUGCAUAUCGCACUAAAGAACUAGAAUGAAAAAGAACACGUGUGAUGUUGCUAUCCCUUUCGCAGUGUGUUCG
rnacentral:rRNA from 1 species